rnacentral:rRNA from 1 species
UCAGGCCUACGGGGGGCAGCAGUGGGGAAUUUUGCGCAAUGGGGGAAACCCUGACGCAGCAACGCCGCGUGCGGGACGAAGGCCCUCGGGUUGUAAACCGCUUUCAGCAGGGAAGAUCCAAGACGGUACCUGCAGAAGAAGCUCCGGCUAACUACGCGCCAGCAGCCGCGGUAAUACGUAGGGGGCGAGCGUUAUCCGGAUUCAUUGGGCGUAAAGCGCGCGUAGGCGGCCGCCUAAGCGGGACCUCUAACCCCGGGGCUAAACCCCGGGCCGGGUCCCGGACUGGGCGG